UACGGAGGGUGCAAGCGUUAUCCGGAUUCACUGGGUUUAAAGGGUGCGUAGGAGGGCAGGUAAGUCAGUGGUGAAAUCUCCAAGCUUAACUUGGAAACUGCCGUUGAUACUAUCUGUCUUGAAUACCGUGGAGGUGAGCGGAAUAUGUCAUGUAGCGGUGAAAUGCUUAGAUAUGAACAUAGAACACCAAUUGCGAAGGCAGCUCGCUACACGAAUAUUGACUCUGAGGCACGAAAGCGUGGGGAUCAAACAG
rnacentral:rRNA from 1 species